rnacentral:tmRNA from 1 species
GGGGGCGAACUGGAUUCGACGGCGGAUACAAAGUCUCAGGUGCAUGUCGAGAGAGAAACAGCUCUCGAAAAUCAAUUGUUUCAUUCUUAAAUAGUUGCCAACGACGACAACUACGCUCUAGCGGCUUAAGAGCACGCUAGUUCUGCCCAUCUGAAUGCCCGUGUAGGGUGGGCGGAAUCAUACUUACGGGAUCGUCCGAGAUGUCGGUCCAAACGUCUUGAGAUUAAAACUUAGGACUCGCUGGUGGAAUCCUGUCUUGUCGGGUCAUCGCCUUGCUAAAGCAAAGACAAGAAUAAGCAUGUAGAGCCAAGGAUGGAGUACUGUCGGACGCGGGUUCGAUUCCCGCCGCCUCCACCA